ensembl:snRNA U6 U6 spliceosomal RNA
GUGCUCAGUCCAUCAGCACAAGUACUACCCUCAGAACAGCACAGAGACUAGUACGGCCCUGCACAAAGAUGACACGCAAAUUCGUGAAACAUUCCACAAGUUU